CCAAAGCCACUGCAGUUUUUGAUGUCGUAGAUACUGCAUCAGGAACUGAUUGGAUAAUAAUCCGUCGCCAUCAGUUCCUAAUGCAUUGCCUUCAGCAUCUAAACAA
rnacentral:pre_miRNA from 14 species